rnacentral:rRNA from 1 species
UACAGAGGUCUCGAGCGUUGUUCGGAUUCAUUGAGCGUAAAGGGUGCGUAGACUGUGGGGUAAGUCUGGUGUGAAAUCCCGGGGCUCAACCCCGGAACUGCACUGGAUACUGCUUUACUAGAGCACUGGAGAGGGAACUGGAAUUUACGGUGUAGCAGUGAAAUGCGUAGAUAUCGUAAGGAAGACCAGUGGCGAAGGCGAAUUCCUGGACAGUUGCUGACGCUGAGGCACGAAGGCCAGGGGAGCAAACGGG